GGGGAAUUUUCCGCAAUGGGCGCAAGCCUGACGGAGCAAUACCGCGUGCGGGAGGAAGGCUUUUGGGUCGUAAACCGCUUUUAUUGGGGAAGAAGCUCUGACGGUACCCAAUGAAUCAGCAUCGGCUAACUCCGUGCCAGCAGCCGCGGUAAUACGGAGGAUGCAAGCGUUAUCCGGAAUUAUUGGGCGUAAAGCGUCCGCAGGUGGCUGGUCAAGUCUGCUGUUAAAGCGUAGAGCUUAACUCUAUAUCGGCAGUGGAAACUGGACAGCUAGAGUACGGUAGGGGUAGCGGGAAUUCCCAGUGUAGCGGUGAAAUGCGUAGAUAUUGGGAAGAACACCAGCGGCGAAAGCGCGCUACUGGGCCUGUACUGACACUGAGGGACGAAAGCUAGGGGAGCGAAAGGGAUUAGAUACCCCUGUAGUCCUAGCUGUAAACGAUGGAUACUAGGUGUUGCGCGUAUCGACCCGUGCAGUGCCGUAGCUAACGCGUUAAGUAUCCCGCCUGGGGAGUACGCACGCAAGUGUGAAACUCAAAGGAAUUGACGGGGGCCCGCACAAGCGGUGGAGUAUGUGGUUUAAUUCGAUGCAACGCGAAGAACCUUACCAGGGCUUGACAUGUCGCGAAUCUCCUUGAAAGGGGAGAGUGCCUACGGGAGCGCGAACACAGGUGGUGCAUGGCUGUCGUCAGCUCGUGUCGUGAGAUGUUGGGUUAAGUCCCGCAACGAGCGCAACCCACGUCCUUAGUUGCCAGCAUUCAGUUGGGCACUCUGGGGAGACUGCCGGUGACAAACCGGAGGAAGGUGUGGAUGACGUCAAGUCAUCAUGCCCCUUACGUCCUGGGCUACACACGUACUACAAUGCUAUGGACAAAGAGUUGCGAGACCGCGAGGUUCAGCUAAUCUCAUAAACCAUGGCACAGUUCAGAUUGCAGGCUGCAACUCGCCUGCAUGAAGGCGGAAUCGCUAGUAAUCGCAGGUCAGCAUACUGCGGUGAAUACGUUCCCGGGCCUUGUACACACCGCCCGUCACACCAUGGAAGUUGGCCACGCCCGAAGUCGUUACUCCAACCGAGAGGAGGGGGAUGCCGAAGGCAGGGCUGAUGACUGGGGUGAAGUCGUAACAAGGUAGCCGUACCGGAAGGUGUGGCUGGAUCACCUCCUUUUAGGGAGACCUGCUCUGUACAGAUGAAACCCAAUAUAUUUAGUCUGUAAUUGAGCUAUCCCAAGGUCGAUACAAGCUAAGGCUAAGCUUUCAAACGAAUUGGUUCAUUCUUUAAUCUAAAGAACCUUGAAAACUGCAUAGUCAUGAAGUCAGGUAGGUGUAGUGCUGGUUGUGAGACCGGACACUACAACACAGACACCAAAAGAGAGAUAAAAGAACGUGGUCAAGCUACGAAGGGCUCAUGGUGGAUACCUAGGCACACAGAG
rnacentral:misc_RNA from 1 species